rnacentral:rRNA from 1 species
UAUUGCGCAAUGGGGGAAACCCUGACGCAGCGAUGCCGCGUGGGUGAAGAAGGCUUUCGGGUCGUAAAGCCCUGUCAGGUGGGAAGAACAGUCUCUUAUUGAAUAGAUAGGAGGCCUGACGGUACCACCGAAGGAAGCACCGGCUAACUCCGUGCCAGCAGCCGCGGUAAGACGGAGGGUGCGAGCGUUAUUCGGAAUCAUUGGGCGUAAAGAGCGUGUAGGCGGCCGGUAAAGUCAGGUGUGAAAGCCCGGGGCUCAACCUCGGAAGUGCACUUGAAACUGGUCGGCUUGAGUUCGGGAGAGGGAAGCGGAAUUCCUGGUGUAGAGGUGAAAUUCGUAGAUAUCAGGAGGAACAUCGGUGGCGAAGGCGGCUUCCUGGACCGAAACUGACGCUGAGACGCGAAAGCGUGGGGAGCAAACAGG